rnacentral:tRNA from 1 species
AGCCCGGUGGUGUAGUGGCCAAGCAUAAAGGGCUUUGGAACACUUUAAAGUGUAAAGAAACCCUUAGACCCCUUUAAAAGGCUAAAAAGGAGUUCGAAUCUCCUCCGGGCUA